UUUGUACAAUGUGCGCAAGCCUGAUCCAGCCAUGCCGCUCGAGUGAAGAAGGCCUGCGGGCUGUAUAGCGCUUUCGGAGGGAUAGACAUCCCGCAGCCUAAUCCCCGGCGCGGACGACGGGACCGUCCUAAGAAGCCACGGCUAACUACGUGCCAGCAGCCGCGGUAAUACGUAGGGUGCGAGCGUUAAUCGGAAUAACUGGGCGUAAAGCGUGCGCAGGCGGUUGAUUACGACAGGCCUGAAAUCCCCGGGCUUAACCUGGGAACUGCGCUUGUGACUGGGCAGCUAGAGUACGGCAGAGGGGGGUGGAAUUCCACGUGUAGCAGUGAAAUGCGUAGAGAUGUGGCGGAACACCGAUGGCGAAGGCAGCCCCCUGGGCAGAUACUGACGCUCAUGCACGAAAGCGUGGGUAGCAAACAGG
rnacentral:rRNA from 1 species